GUGGUGUUAUUGGCACAGUGGUGAGGUUAUUUUAGUGGUGAUAGUAUGGUGGUGUUAUUGGCUCUGUUAUUUUAGUGGUGAUAGUAUGGUGGUGUUAUUGGCACAGUGGUGAGGUUAUUUUAGUGGUGAUAGUAUGGUGGUGUUAUUGGCUCUGUUAUUUUAGUGGUGAUAGUAUGGUGGUGUUAUUGGCUAGGUUAUUUUAGUGGUGAUAGUAUGGUGGUGUUAUUGGCACAGUGGGAGGUUAUUUUAGUGGUGAUAGUAUGGUGGUGUUAUUGGCACAGUGGGAGGUUAUUUUAGUGGUGAUAGUAUGGUGGUGUUAUUGGCACAGUGGUGAGGUUAUUUUAGUGGUGAUAGUAUGGUGGUGUUAUUGGCUCUGUUAUUUUAGUGGUGAUAGUAUGGUGGUGUUAUUGGCUCUGUUAUUUUAGUGGUGAUAGUAUGGUGGUGUUAUUGGCUCUGUUAUUUUAGUGGUGAUAGUAUGGUGGUGUUAUUGGCUCUGUUAUUUUAGUGGUGAUAGUAUGGUGGUGUUAUUGGCUCGGUUAUUUUAGUGGUGAUAGUAUGGUGGUGUUAUUGGCUCGGUUAUUUUAGUGGUGAUAGUAUGGUGGUGUUAUUGGCUCUGUUAUUUUAGUGGUGAUAGUAUGGUGGUGUUAUUGGCUCUGUUAUUUUAGUGGUGAUAGUAUGGUGGUGUUAUUGGCUCGGUUAUUUUAGUGGUGAUAGUAUGGUGGUGUUAUUGGCUCUGUUAUUUUAGUGGUGAUAGUAUGGUGGUGUUAUUGGCUCUGUUAUUUUAGUGGUGAUAGUAUGGUGGUGUUAUUGGCUCUGUUAUUUUAGUGGUGAUAGUAUGGUGGUGUUAUUGGCUCUGUUAUUUUAGUGGUGAUAGUAUGGUGGUGUUAUUGGCUCGGUUAUUUUAGUGGUGACAGUAUGGUGG